rnacentral:rRNA from 1 species
UACAGAGGGUGCGAGCGUUGUUCGGAGUUACUGGGCGUAAAGAGUGCGUAGGCGGUUUUCUAAGUUUGGUGUGAAAUCUCCCGGCUUAACUGGGAGGGUGCGCCGAAAACUGGAAGGCUUGAGUAUGGGAGAGGUAAGCGGAAUUCCUGGUGUAGCGGUGAAAUGCGUAGAUAUCAGGAGGAACACCUGCGGUGUAGACGGCUUACUGGACCAUAACUGACGCUGAGGCACGAAAGCGUGGGUAGCAAACCGG